AGAGCAGAACUUGGACUGAGUCCUGCAGGACACAGGUAUUAGCUUUUCUCUUUUAUUUGCUUUAUGUUUCAUUUACUUCUUUGGAUCGAAUAGCUCCAAUUGUAUUGCUGUUAUUUGGUUUUUCAUUUUGUUGUUGGGUUUUUUGAUGUGGUGUUUUUUUGUUUUGUUUUGUUUCUUUUUGUCUUUUUAGAAAGAGGGUUUCCCUCUAUUGCCCUGGCUGGAGUACAGUGGUGGAAUCACUGUUCACUACAGCCUCCAACUUAUUCCUGGGCUCAAGCAAUCCUUCUGUCUCCAUCUCCUGAGCAGCUGGGACUCUAGGCAUUUGCCACCGUGCCCAAUUUUUUUUUAAUUCCUUUUUAAAAAUAUUUUAAUCCUUUCCGGAAAAAAAUAUGUUUUCCAUGGACUUGCUUAUUUCCUUUAUACAGUCCAUUGUCGUUGAAUUCUUAUUUGAAUUUGUGAUACACCCUCUCUGUUGAUGAUUGUACUAAACAAAAUAAUUUCAUUUUUACACAACCAGUUGUAUGUGAACUAUGUUGAAAACAGGAUGCAUGACUGGCGGCCAGAACAAAGAAGUUUGGUUUAAUUUCUAUCUAUACACCCAGUAAAAUAUCUGUAAUACCACUGGAAAACCUUAAAAUACAUUAUCUAUUUCUUGUAAAAGAAUGAUGAAAUGUGAAUUUGAACAGCAUAAAUAUGUACAAGUAUCUCUUCUCAACGGAAAAAAUUAUGUUUGUGGAUGAAAUAUGAACCGAGUUUGUGGAUGAAAUAUGAGCAGCAUGAAUAUGCACAGAUAUCUCUCCUCAAUGGAAAAAAUCACGUACAAAAUAUAAGAACCCAGUUUGUGGAUGCGUGAAUAAUGAUAAAUUGAGGCCGGGCGCGGUGGCUCACGCCUGUAAUCCCAGCACUUUGGGAGGCUGAGAUGGGCGGAUGACCCGAGGUCCGGAGCUCAAAUCCAGCUCGACCAAUGCGGUGAAACCCCAUCUCUAGUAAAAAUACGAAAAUUAGCCGGGUGUGGUGGCGCAUGCCUGUAAUCCCAGCUACUCGGGAAGCUGAGGCAGGAGAAAUGCUUGAACCCUGGAGGUGGAGGUUAAUAGUGUGCCCAGAUCGCACGACUGCACUCCAGACUGGGUAACAGAGUGAGACUCCGCUUCAAAAAAACAAAAAACAAAGAAUAAUAAUAAUAACGAUAAAUCCUAUAUGUUACGGUAAAAAUCUUCAUGAGAACAAAUUUACUAUCAUUUUUUCUACUGAAUGGAUGAUCAUGAAAAGGAAUUUAUUUUUAUUUCGUAUGAUGGACUGAGCAUCAUGAAAAAAAAUACUACCUUUUGGAUUGUUGAACUUCCAUCCUGAGAAAUUUACUAUUGUGCUGCAUGCUGCAGUGAUGAUCUUGUGAUCUCAGCAAUGCCCAUGGGGCAAUUUACAUCGGGACUCGUUUCAUCUCUAGACCUUCACUUACCUGAGAAAGACAAGUGUCUUUUGAUAAAUAAAAUAUUGUUA
rnacentral:lncRNA from 1 species